CGUAGGGGGCAAGCGUUGUCCGGAAUCAUUGGGCGUAAAGAGCGCGUAGGCGGCCAGAUAAGUCCGGUGUGAAAGUCACAGGCUCAACCUGUGAAUGCCGCUGGAAACUGUUUGGCUAGAGUCCGGUAGGGGCGAGUGGAAUUCCUGGUGUAGCGGUGAAAUGCGCAGAUAUCAGGAGGAACACCAAUGGCGAAGGCAGCUCGCUGGAACGGUACUGACGCUGAGGCGCGAAAGCGUGGGGAGCGAACAGGAUUAGAUACCCUGGUAGUCCACGCCGUAAACGAUGGGUACUAGGUGUAGGAGGUGUCGACUCCUCCUGUGCCGAAGCUAACGCAUUAAGUACCCCGCCUGGGGAGUACGGCCGCAAGGCUA
rnacentral:rRNA from 1 species